AACCGUGGGAAACUACGGCUAAUACCGCAUGAUGCCUGAGGGCCAAAGACGAAAGUCGUUUGAGGAGGAGCCUGCGUCUGAUUAGGUAGUUGGUGGGGUAAAGGCCUACCAAGCCUGCGAUCAGUAGCUGGUCUGAGAGGAUGAUCAGCCACAUUGGGACUGAGACACGGCCCAAACUCCUACGGGAGGCAGCAGUGGGGAAUAUUGGACAAUGGGCGAAAGCCUGAUCCAGCAAUGCCGCGUGUGUGAAGAAGGUCUUCGGAUUGUAAAGCACUUUUGGCAGGGACGAUGAUGACGGUACCUGCAGAAUAAGCCCCGGCUAACUUCGUG
rnacentral:rRNA from 1 species